rnacentral:rRNA from 1 species
GCGGCCGGCCCCCCAUGUGAAACCCCUUCGACGAGUCGAGUUGUUAGGGAAUGCAGCUCAAAAUGGGUGGUAAAUUUCAUCUAAAGCUAAAUAUUGGCCAGAGACCGAUAGCGCACAAGUAGAGUGAUCGAAAGAUGAAAAGCACUUUGGAAAGAGAGUUAAACAGUACGUGAAAUUGUUGAAAGGGAAGCGCUUGCGACCAGACUUGCCCGCGGGGGAUCAACCUUCCUUCGGGGGGGUGCACUCCCCCGCGGUCAGGCCAGCAUCGGUUCGGGCGGUCGGAUAAAGGCCCCGGGAACGUAGCUCCUCUCGGGGAGUGUUAUAGCCCGGGGUGCAAUGCGGCCAGCCGGGACCGAGGACCGCGCUUCGGCUAGGAUGCUGGCGUAAUGGUCGUCAGCGACCCGUCUUGAAACACGGACCAAGGAGUCUAACAUCUACGCGAGUGUUUGGGUGUCAAGCCCGGGCGCGGAAUGAAAGUGAACGGAGGUGGGAGCCUUGGGCGCACCAUCGACCGAUCCUGAUGUCUUCGGAUGGAUUUGAGUAGGAGCGUAGCUGUUGGGACCCGAAAGAUGGUGAACUAUGCCUGAAUAGGGUGAAGCCAGAGGAAACUCUGGUGGAGGCUCGCAGCGGUUCUGAC